rnacentral:rRNA from 1 species
GAUGAACGCUAGCGGCAGGCCUAAUACAUGCAAGACGAACGGUAAGCUUUGUAGCAAUACGGGGCCUAGAGUGUCGCAAGGGUGCGUAACACGUAUGCAAUCUACCCUGUACAGGAGUAUAGCUCCCCGAAAGGGGAAUUAACCCUCCAUAAUAUGAUGAACCGGCAUCGGUUUAUUAUUAAAACUGAGGUGGUACAGGAUGAGCAUGCGUCUGAUUAGCUAGUUGGUAGUGUAAUGGACUACCAAGGCAAUGAUCAGUAGGGGAACUGAGAGGUUGAUCCCCCACACUGGCACUGAGAUACGGGCCAGACUCCUACGGGAGGCAGCAGUAGGGAAUAUUGGACAAUGGGUGAGAGCCUGAUCCAGCCAUGCCGCGUGCAGGAAGAAGGCCUUCUGGGUUGUAAACUGCUUUUAUCUGGGGAUAAAAAGGCCUUGCGAGGCAAACUGAAGGUACCAGAUGAAUAAGCCAACGGCUAAACUACGUGCCAGCAGCCGACGG